AGAUACUGGUUCUAAUACGAUCACCGAAGUUAAGCAACGUCGAAAUUGGUCAGUAGCUAGAUGGGUGACCGCUUGCGAAUACCAGGUGCCGUAU